UUGGGUGCUCAGAAGGGGCUAGCAAAACUUGGGACGAAAACAGUUCAUUGGUAGGACCACAUAAUAACGCGUGCUCUGCCUGUGUCCUUUACAUAUUUCCUCAGGGCAUCUUCAGACACACUCGGGACUCCAUGCCAGAGAAGGUGCAGGUGCCUGAACACAUCACUGCCGGGACGAAAUGUUCUCCCUGAGAAAUGGCUCUGACGCUCCAACCCCAGGGCCCUGGCAGCCUGGACUCCUGAAGCAGGAACCACAACCAGAGGGGAAUAAGAAAUUAAUUAGGACCUCCUGUCGGGACUACUAACGUGGACCUGCAAUUCUACCAGACGGUGGGAGAAGUGACUAAGAAGAUAGCAACCGCUUCCCAGUCCUGACCUCCGUGAUCUCAUUUCACAUGACUUCACAGACCUUCGCUACCUCCCUUUGGAAAUAGAAAGAGUCCCUCUGCGGACGGACCAUGGAUGCUUCAGAGGGAUGUGCUUUCUCCCUUCAGAACAGUACAACCGUCACGGCCUGAGAUAUCACGAGUGUUGAUGGCAGAUGAUGGGAGAAGUGGGAGGUGGAAGGUGGUCCCACUAUGUGAGAAGUGCUGGGGAAAGCCCUUUAGAAACGAGGCCUGGCCUGGAAACUUCUCAACUGAUAAUCGGGGUAUCCUGGAUUAUUAAUGUACUAAGGGGAGAUUUUAUUAAGAAUUUGAACAGAUCUUAUAGAGAAAGAGAGCCUCUGAAUAAAACCCCUAAUUCACUUUAUUUUUCUAAGUAAUUAGAACGUAUUUAUUCAAUGAUUGAAUCUGACAUUGCAUAUACAUUUAUAAAAAUUGCUUAAUUUUAUUUAUUUUUUAUUUGAGACAGAGAGUAUGCGCGGGGCAGAGGGAUAAAGAGAGAGAAUCUUAAGCAGGCUCCAUACUCAGCGUGGAGCCCGACAUGGGGCUUGAUUCCGUGACACUGGGAUCAUGACCUGAGACGAAAUCAAGAGUCAGAUCCUCAACCUACUGAGCCAUCCAGGUGCCCCACAACUGCUUAAUAUUUCAAACAUACCACACACGUAUAUGCAAAAUACCUUCUGUAUAUGAAGACAUAAUUCAUAUAUGUCUGUCGCCAUUACAUGAGACUGUAUUCCCCAAAGCCACUAUUAUGAAUAUAUGUAAAUUUAGGAAGAGUGCUUAAUUACUGCUGGAAGCCCAUGCAGGGUUUCUUGGAGGUAGACUGACGUGUUGCUCAAGUGUUUGGGGGCAUAUCUGUAGCCAGUGCUAAUGCUGGAAGGCCUUUUGUGAUUCAGUAACUCCCGGAGUCAGCAGACAUUUACCAAGAGCCUUCUAUAUGCCCUGCUCUAGGGCGAAUACACAGAACGUGCUCUCUGCUCCUCAGGAGCUCACAACCAACUUUCGUGAGUUCUUUGACAUCUGCCAGAAGAAAAAGUCAUUGGUACAUGGUGAUCCCUGCGUGAGUAAGUAUAUGUUAAUUUCACUUCUCAGUUACAGUCAACUGAACUGUGAGUCUGCAAAUUACGCAACUUGUAAGUGCCAUCCUUAGGCACUCGUCGUCUGGCAGUAACAUCAAUAUUUAAGCAAAUACAGAUAAUCUAAGCAGUCCAAGCAAGGCAAGUGGUGUAUGAAGUGGAAGCGGCCAGUCAGAAAAAGGACUCUAUCUGAUCUGGGCACUGGAGGACGCAACAAGCAAGAGACAGUAGAGACAAUCCUAAUGCUGUUGACUGGGUUAGUCAUUCCUCUUAAAGGACGGUACGGACCAGGCGCAGAGGAACGACAUGUACGUCCCUAAGGGAGUGGAAAGCAGUCUGGUGAUGUAAGAGCAUCAGGAAGAGGCUUCUAGGAUCACAAGCCCUAGUCCCAGCAUCUAGCAGCCCCUGGGAUCACAAGCCCCAGUCCUUACCUGCUGAGCCAUGGCUCGAAUGCGCCAGUACUCGGCCUCCGCACUGGGGGAGGAGGAGGGGGCGGCCACCCUCACCUGGCAGCCUUCCCCACUGAAGCUCUCCGUGCCGCUGUGGAAGCAGCCCAGCAGAUCCUAGGGAGAAACACAGCAGACAUUCCCUGGGUGCGUCCAGGCCCCGUCCCGGAGCUGACACUGUCCCUGCGUCCGGGACGGAAGCACUGAUCCGACAACUUCUCUCUCCCCCUCUGCCGGAUUGCGGGUGAGACAGCCUGCUAAGGGGAGGAGGGCAGAAUCUGGGUGCCCGACCUGACAGGGGGAGGGGGCAAAGGAAGGCUGGCCCCUGCUCGGGCUCCUCCUGCCCGCACUUUACCUUCACCGGCUUGAGCGUGGCGGAGAACGCGUCCUGCAGGGCACAGCACGCGAGCCUCCACAUCUCCUCGGUGAACACGGGGCCCGCCGUGACGAGGACAUACCUGCCCAGGGAAACAAGGAGAUCCUGAAUCUGUAUGUUUGUCAUCACACGGUGAGCAGCCCACCCUGGAGAUGGUCUCUGUGGGCUUGGCCACACACGCCACCAGUAACUCAAACAGGUCCUUCAGCAUCGUGUUGAUCAUGCUCUCAUACCUGAUGUCUACGGGGAAAAGUAAGACCACGAUUUCACUCAGUAAAGGAGGGGGUUGAAAUGGCAUCUGCAGCGAAAGGAGGAAGUCCUAUGAACAUCUGCGAGAAACGUAAUUUUCUUGGAUUUUUUAAACUCAAUUUUAGCUUGUAUUAUCCAUUUCAAGAUGAAAUAUAUGUGGUUUGCUUUCAUGUGUCGGUGUGCAUUCAAAGUUAAGCGUAUAAUUCACCUACUUUACUAAUUUAUUACUAUUAGGCGGAAUACAGCAUCUACAGCCUGAGGAGUGGCUAGCAAAAAAUUUAAAUUCUUAAAAAAACAAAAAAGAGAAAAAUAGAACGUAUACAUUCCUUAUUGCUGAUAGACUAAAUUGAAUUCAAUGCUCUCAGCAAACAAGACCUCUCUUGUCUUACCACUUUCUUGAACUUUCAGUCUGGCACACUAUCCCCAGACCGAAGGUGAGACUUCCCCAAGUCAUUCUGUUUGUCCAAUUCAAGGGAAUACAUCUGUAUUCUUUUCCCUCAGAGUCCUUGUGAUGCCACAGAUUCCAUUUUCAGUAGGAUCAUCAAAGGUUCUGGGCCGUGCAAAAACAAUGACCUAGAUGAGAACAUCUACCCCUAGGGACAGUUAUCGCUUACACGUG